UGGAGAUUUAAACGGUGUAUUUUUAGCGUAAACACCUCAAAACAGAUGACUGGCAUGAAAAUUAAUUAUUAACUCAUAAUUAACAUAUACAAAAAUAACAAUGAAAUUUUGUAAUUGGUAAGACUAACACAUGUUGAAAAUUGGCAAAGUACUUUGAGGAAAUACACGUACAUUCACACACACAAAUGAAUUUUGUGGAUAAACAUUAAACGAAAGUUUUUUUCCUGUAAUCGCUGGGGCUUUGAAAUCAGAGUUGACAAACUAAAUACAUAGAUCAAGCGGGUGCGUAAAACUUUUGGUUUUUUUUUGCCAGUACGGUAUACUUUAAAAGUCAGUAUACAAAAAAAAAAAUUAAUUCUGAUAAUCCAUAUCGAAGUAUAAUCAUUAAUCGUUAAUCGGAGACUAGUAGAACUCAUCUUAAAAAUAAAAUAUGUAGAUAUUAUUUGGUUGCCGUCGCUACUGAAAAUAUCGUAAAAGCGGUACAUUGCUGUAUGAACACUUUCAUAUAUGUAGCUGCAGCAACUUGAAAGCUUCGAUCGGCCUCGCUCGGCUCGGCCCGGCUCGGCUCCGCUUUCUGUAUGAACGCACCCUGAGUCUUGCACACCAGGUUUUUAGAAAUUAUCGUCAUCAUACCAAUUUUAAAAUAGUCUCUCUUAAAUCAGUGGCGAAUCCUGAUGAAAAUUUGGGAGGGGAGGGGGUGGGGGGAAUAACUUUCAUAAUGGUGUACCUUAUUUAAUGGUUGUGUUAAUAAGUAAACAUAAACUCCAUUUUUGGUGCAUAUAGGUAAAUAUCGCUCAGUAAAGUCAUAAUACAAAAAAUAAAAAUUUUGAGUUGAGUUGAGUUUUCUGCAUAACUUUCCUCCCCCGCGGAGCCGCGCCUGUCUUAAAUAGAGCACCCGAAAUAUAUGCUGCACAAAGGGAACACAACCACACAAAAAAAAUAAAAAUAGUAAAAAAAUCAAGUCAGAUCCUUAGAUUUUCAGCAAAUCAAACGGAAGCAGGCGAACCAUAGAAUCGGAAGCAAGAGUUUUAAAUGAUUUCAACUUACAAAUCAGGUGACGUCCUCUGUGAUUGGUAGGGUAGGUAUCGCUGGUCAAAACAGGGUUAGACUGCUGAAAAGCAGCCAUUGGUAGGACAAAACUCAAGUUAUAGCGGUAUGUAGGUGCACUUAGCAAAAAAAGUAGCACUAUUGGUUUUAUACGCAUUGUUUUAGAAUGAAACUUUAAAGAGUAUCCUUUUUCGAUAUCACUAUAUAGCCAUUAAUAAUAAACAUUUGAAAAAUAAUAGCUUUUAAUUUUGGUUAAUAAUUUGAUGACUAAAAGCACAAGUUUUAACCUUAACAAUAUCAAAUUGAGACCUGCAUAGUCUUUUUGGUUUCAAUGUAACAACGAAAAACAUAUCAAUGCUACAAGGAAAACUAUCAUUUAGAUAAGAUGAUUCAUGAGGAAAAAUAUAUAAUCGAAAUUUUCACGUUGAUGGCUAAAUAUAAAUGCCCUGAGGAAACUUUUUUGAGUGUAGCGACUACUAGAUAUUGGCGUAUGGCAUUGAUGACCUGUAUUUGAAAGUACUGACAUACAUACAUAUAUACGGCUAUCUCAAUGAUCUUCGUCGCUCCUUCGGUGCACGGAGUAUUACACUAUCUCUAUAAAAGGACAACGGCGACCACCACGAAUGAUCAAACUGCGACUAAUGCCGAAUUUGCACUAGGCAUUCAAAUGACAAAAAAUGUAUGCCAUUUAAAAAAAUGCCAUGUUGAAAUGAACUUAAUGAAUUUUAUUUUUAAUGUAAUGACACAACUAUUUUUAAAUGCCCGCCUUUGUCAUUUGUCAUUUUUGCCAUUUAAUGCCUAGUAGAAAUCCAGCAUAAGAAUCCCCGUUGACGGCUCAAAAAUACCAAUGGUUAGUAACCCGAAAAGUUUAAGCAGGCAACGGAAUGCGACCUGAUAUCGCGUGGUAAUGCAUUGAAAAUCCAUGAACACAAUUCAUCGGAAGACCUCUCUGGGCUACUCCACUGCGAACAUUUGGCUUCAGAACUUGAUCAACUUUGAAAUAUUACUAUGUAUUCGGAAUAUACACAAUAUCUAGUGAAAUAAAUAUAUACCAUGCUAUGGAGGUAUGCCAUAAGUCCUAGCGUAAUUAUAUAGAGAAUUUCCUCCUCUGCAUACAUUGUAACAUCCUUGCAGGAAAUGGGCCUAGUUAACUCCUUUAGAACAUAAACUAUCAAUAAUAAAAAAAAAUAAUUUUUUUUAUAUUUCUA
rnacentral:lncRNA from 1 species